rnacentral:rRNA from 1 species
GUAGGGUGCAAGCGUUAAUCGGAAUUACUGGGCGUAAAGCGUGCGCAGGCGGUUUUGUAAGUCUGACGUGAAAGCCCCGGGCUCAACCUGGGAAUUGCGUUGGAGACUGCAAGGCUUGAAUCUGGCAGAGGGGGGUAGAAUUCUACGUGUAGCAGUGAAAUGCGUAGAGAUGUGGAGGAACACCGAUGGCGAAGGCAGCCCCCUGGGUCAAGAUUGACGCUCAUGCACGAAAGCGUGGGGGGAGCAAACAGGAUUAGAUACCCUGGUAGUCCACGCCCUAAACGAUGUCUACUAGUUGUCGGGUCUUAAUUGACUUGGUAACGCAGCUAACGCGUGAAGUAGACCGCCUGGGAGUACGGUCGCAAGAUUA